ensembl:snRNA U6 U6 spliceosomal RNA
GCACUUCCUUCAGCAGCACAUAUACUAAAAUUGAAAUAAUACUGAGAAGAUUAGCAUGGUCCCUGCUCAGGAAUAACACAAAAAUUUGUAAAGCAUUCCAUAAUUUU